GGUAGGGUGGCCGAGAGUUAGGCGGCAGGUUGUAGCCCUGCACAGGCAGGGGUUACCUGCUCCUAUCAA
rnacentral:tRNA from 1 species